CUUGCUGCCCAAUUCACUGUUCACCAGUCCUUGCGCAGCUCCUGUCCAAGUAACUCCUCUGGCUCCCUGAUUUCUGGUUAAGCUUCUGGCUUGGUGUUUGGAUCUUGAUUUGACCUCUGCUGGCUUCCUGACCUCCGAUUCCUGGCUAACCUUCCAGGGUAUGAAGCAACUUCUGAAGAAAAUAUGCAACUUCUAAUGCAAGACACAGACACUCUUCCACUUGAGACCCUGGAAGAAGCGAGACCCAGAUUCCACAAGCUACCUGAACAGAGAAAACGAGGAUCCCUGAUUAUGAGGCCUAAGUGAGGGACAACAGUUAACAUGGACUUCAGUGGGAUCCGGAUUUCACCCAG